AAGUCGUAACAAGGUUUCCGUAGGUGAAUCCUGGAAGGUCCAUUUAACAAUUUAGGCUUCAGCGGCCAAUUUAUCAUACCCUUUGGUAUACCCGUGAAAACCCAAUUGGUUGGCAUUUGGCAGGCCCCAUGGCAUUUCUCGGGACCUAGCCAGAGGGUUAUGAAAGCCGUAGAAUCUCUGGCGUGUCUGAGUUACUAUACAAUAGUUAAAAG
rnacentral:misc_RNA from 1 species